rnacentral:rRNA from 1 species
GGUUGAUCCUGCCAGUAGUCAUAUGCUUGUCUCAAAGAUUAAGCCAUGCAUGUCUAAGUAUAAACGAUCUAUACUGUGAAACUGCGAAUGGCUCAUUAAAUCAGUUAUAGUUUAUUUGAUCAUGCCUUACUACUCGGAUAACCGUGGUAAUUCUAGAGCUAAUACGUGCUAAAAAUCCCGACUUCUGGAAGGGAUGUAUUUAUUAGAUAAAAAACCAACGCGGGCAACCGCUUGUCUGGUGAUUCAUGAUAACUUUUCGAAUCGCAUGGCCUUGUGCUGGCGAUGUUUCAUU